rnacentral:rRNA from 1 species
CCCUUAGAUGUUCUGGGCCGCACGCGCGCUACAAUGAUGAAUUCAACGAGUUUAUAACCUUGGUUGAAAAGCCUGGGUAAUCUUUUGAACUUUCGUCGUGAUGGGGCUAGACCCUUGCAAUUAUUGGUCUCCAACGAGGAAUUCCUAGUAAACGCAAGUCAUCAGCUUGCAUUGAUUACGUCCCUGCCCUUUGUACACAUUGCCCGUCGCACCUACCGAUUGAAUGGUCCGGUGAAAUCUUCGGAUUGAGACUUUGUUUUCCUCACGGAAAACGCUGUUUUAAAAAGUUGAUUAAACCUUACCAUUUAGAGGAAGGUGAAGUCGUAACA